AAAUGGCUUUGUCAUGCAAAUGUGGCUCUAAGCCACUUUCAUAUAAAGCCAGCUUAAUGCCCAACAGCCACUGACCCUCCCUCGUCCGUUAGGCAGCGUCUGCCCCGUCCUUGAAGAAACAGGGACGGUGGCGCUGGGGCAGAUGUUGGCUCCGGCCACCAUGCCGAAGUGGUGUGACCUUACAGCGCUGAAAGGAGUCGUGUCCCUGUAGUCCUCCCCACCCCACCCCCCAAAAUAAGGCCUCUCUCUUUCACGAAACGAGAUUUCCUGCCAAUCCGUCCCCGUUGCCCUCAGAAAACAUCCCCAGUACUUCUCGGUCCCGGUCCUCCCUGCUCGCAGCUACUACGCGGCAUAAGCCGGGUUUCUGCUGUGCCGAAAAACACAUUUUGGUUUUCUUUGCAGGCUGGUACUAACUUUAGGUAGCAGCCGGCAGAGUGUGCUGUGAACGCUACGAAAAGGACACCCCACUGCUGGGAAUUUUUAAGAUAUACGUACAUACAGAGAUACAGAUACAUAUAUUUAAUCGCGGAUGAAGACAUCUUAAGUGGUUCAAAUAUCUGCAUGAGCAGUUGGUAGUUCCUCCUGUCAAUUACAAUACUGGUCUCGUCACAGAUCACAGAACCUCCUCCUUAAAAAUUAAUAGCCGAGUCAUACUAAACUGCCCGCUUCCAGCAAGAUUGCUUUUCAGUGUUUGUGCAAAGUUGGAAACUCGCCACAAUGAACGUGUCCGGACACCUUUCACGGUCACAGAAAAGGGUCUGCAGCACGAGGUGUUUAAUAGAUGAAAAUUCAAAUUGUAAUCCUGGCCUACCGGAAGCAGCUUACGAAACGGAGCAGCAUGAGCAUACAUUUCUGCAGCCUCAUUACGCUCUCCUUUGGACUUACCGACGGUAGAGUUACAGAGAGAUUAAUAAAUGCAUUAGAAAGAUUGCCACAAAGCUGCAGGCUUUUGUUGUUGAUUGCCAAUACAAAAAGAGAAAUCCUCUUUCGCUGUUUCACCAGGAAAAUGAUCUUCCUCUUCCUUGUGCAUAAAGAGUGGCAAACUGUCGCAAAAUGGCAAACAAGUUCUGUAACUGUGGCAUAGCAGCCUUUGAUGGUUCAGUAUCUUCAAUGCAAGGAAUAAAAACACUGUAGGAAAGUAGGAGUAUAUGUAUUUUAUUCUGAAACUUAAGAUGGAGGCGGGGGUUGCGGGAGGGGGGUGGCCUUCUUGCCCCACCAGUGGCUGGUAUAGGAGGUGUAAUAGAAGUGGCUUUGAAGACUUGUCUCAAUUGUCAUGAAGCUGAGCUUUUCAGGCUUUGGGGCUUUUUCUUCCAAAUGGGCUAGGCUUGUCAUGUGUAGGGAUAUUUGCAUGUCAAUAAAAGAGAUGUGUGUAUUGGCAUUUUUUUCUUCAAUAUUGCG
ensembl:lncRNA